rnacentral:rRNA from 1 species
UAGAGAUAGCUGGUUAUUCAAGAAACGGAUAUUAGUCCAAUUUUAAACCUCCAUAUUUUUUAAAGUACAUUCAAAAGUUUAAAACUCAUUCAAAUAAGGUACAGCCUAUUUGAAAUAGGAUACAACCUCUAAUAUUGGGUAACAUCCAGCCUCCGUGACCAAGUCGGCCUAAAAGCAGCCAUCUUUCAAAAAGCGUUAUAGCCUUACCACACCUCAUCAACAAUUCCUACCCCAACUAAAAACCCAUUAUCAUUAUUGAAUGACUCCAUUCAUCUAUGGAAGACCUUAUGUUAGAACUAGUAAUGAGAAUACGCCCUUCUCCAACAGUAAGUGUAAGCCGGAAUGAACCUCUCACCGGCAUUUACCGCCCAUGAAUUUGUAGUAAUAACUUUUCAAGAAAAUGUUACUCUCACUAGCGUUAAUCUUACACUAGAACUUUUCUGGAAAGAUUAAAAAAUUAGGAAGGAACUCGGCAAACACUAACCCCGCCUGUUUACCAA